GGUCGAUUAGCUCAGUUGGUUAGAGCGUGGUGCUAAUAACGCCAAGGUCGCGGGUUCGACCCCCGUAUUGACCA